CGGACGGGUGAGUAAUGUCUGGGAAACUGCCCGAUGGAGGGGAUAACUACUGGAAACGGUAGCUAAUACCGCAUAACGUCGCAAGACCAAAGAGGGGGACCUUGGGCCUCUUGCCAUCGGAUGUGCCCAGAUGGGAUUAGCUAGUAGGUGGGGUAACGGCUCACCUAGGCGACGAUCCCUAGCUGGUCUGAGAGGAUGACCAGCCACACUGGAACUGAGACACGGUCCAG
rnacentral:rRNA from 1 species